CGGCGGCGGUGAUGGAAACCGCUGCAGGCUGGAUAUGGAAGUGCGGGAUGCCUCGUGGAUCAUUUCCUGCCUCGUCGUUCUUUCGUCUUCUUCUACUGCUCCCUCUUCAUCACACACAGGACAUGGAUGCGUACGUGUGUGUGUUUGUGUCGACGUAAUCGGUGCGAUUGGUUUCGUCGUUUCGUCGGAGAGGGUAGACAAUCCGGCGUCCGCUAAGCACUUCCCGCCCAAAUUUUCGUCGGCCGUCAUCAUUUCAGUACAAAUGCGCCAGCAGGCAUCUAUCUGUUAUAGCAUGCUGCGGCUAUGGGCGCAUUCGCCGAAGAACACGUUGAAGCUAUGAGGAGGAAUAUGGGCAAAGGCAACUUCCACACACAACUCCCAACACAAACAAUCACCAAACGGACGUUUAUCGCCUUCUGUUUGGAUGCGCUCUAAUAAACAUAUGAUGUAUUUAGAAAAAAAAGCCAUAAGUCAGUGAUACCGUUAAAUUUUUUUGUAGGACCUAUAUGGCUUCAGAUUGAAGUUGUUGAGCGAUAUUUAAUUUAAAGCGCCGAAGCAAUGCACUUUUUUUUAUCUAAAUAGGAUAUGCUAGAUCUUUUAUAUACAUGAGUAUAUAUCCAGUAAGAGUAUGCCAAUGUACACAGUUUUUGUGGCUUUUUGUUGAUGGCGCUAACGAUGUUCAAAUAUGAAUAUUAUUAAUUUGAAGAUCUCACUCGAUUGCGAAGGUUUGGCCACAGGUGAAAACAAGGUGAUUGUUAGACGCGUUCGUUCGCAAUAUUCAAACAGCACUUGCACCGUGACAACGUGACAUAAAUAUUUCCUAUUUGAGCCAUAAUAGAAAAUGAAUGAACCUCUUUAGGCUAAACAUGUUUGAGGUCGUAGGGAUUGUGCGAUCAUUUUAGCAAAGAAAAAUGCAGUCUUUUCUUUUUAUUUGUUUACUUCCUUAUGUUUUAUGUUUGUCAACGUGCAGGCACUCUGGCGUGCACGGAUCUGACUCGACAGAAACCUGUACUGCAAUAACAUGUUUAAUAUUACCUGAAAUACGAUGCUGCAGUGUCAAUUAUUUGACACUUCAAUCCACCACACGACCAGUAGAUUACACCAGAAGACUGCCGACCGCUUCGUGUCCUCUCGUCCUUCAGUAGGCCGUACAGUCAAGUUCGUGAUUUACCUCAGUCACAAGGACAACGCUCGUCAAUAUCAACUUCCACACCGGCGAACUACUUUUACGUACUCAAAUGGCUAAACAAGCGCACACAGGUUUCUAUCAAUAACAACGGCCGUCAAGAAAACCACUACAAUGGGACGGCAAACAUUAUUAUAAUUCACGGGAGUACUUCACAAUUGCUCCGUAAUUCUGCUUUACCAAUCGAUUAACUAACUGGUCGACUGCCAGCGAUUGAUUAAAUAGAAGCACCUCCUUUUCCUUAAUAAACGCAUGGACAAACUAAAAAAUCCCAGAGACUUAUUUGAAAGCUCUUCACAGAUGUCUAUAAAUUAUGAGAAUAAAUAACCACUAUUUUAACAUCAAUUA